UACGGAGGGGGCUAGCGUUGUUCGGAAUUACUGGGCGUAAAGCGCACGUAGGCGGCUUUGUAAGUUAGAGGUGAAAGCCCAGGGCUUAACCCUGGAAUUGCCUUUAAGACUGCAUCGCUUGAAUCGUGGAGAGGUGAGUGGAAUUCCGAGUGUAGAGGUGGAAUGCGCAGAUAUCAGGAGGAACACCAAUAGCGAAGGCAGCUCGCUGGGACGUUACUGACACUGAGGCGCGAAAGCGUGGGGAGCGAACAGG
rnacentral:rRNA from 1 species